CCUACGGGAGGCAGCAGUGGGGAAUAUUGCACAAUGGGGGAUACCCUGAACCAGCGACGCCGCGUGAGUGAAGAAGUAUUUCGGUAUGUAAAGCUUUAUUAGCAGGGAAGAAAAUGACGGUACCUGAUUUACAAGCCCCGGCUAACUACGUGCCAGCAGCCGCGGGAAGAAGUAGGGGGCAAGCGUUAUCCGGACUAACUGGGGGUAAAGGGAGCGUAUACGGUUAUGCAAGUCAGGAGUGAAAGCCGGGGGGUCAAAUCCGGGAGUGCAUUUGAAACUGUGUGACUGGAGUGCAGGAGAGGUAAGCGGAAUGCGUGGUGUAGCGGGGAAAUGCGUAGAUAUCAGGAGGAACACCAGUGGCGAAGGCAGCGUACUGGACUGUAACUGACGUUGAGGCUCGAAAGCGUGGGGAUCAAACAGGAUUAGAUACCCGGGUAGUC
rnacentral:rRNA from 1 species